GUCCCUGUAGCGCAAUGGAUAACGCGUUGGAUUUCGAAUCCAAAUGUCGUGGGUUCGAAUUCCACCGGAGAGGGCG
rnacentral:tRNA from 1 species